ensembl:lncRNA
AAAAAAAGUCUAAAAGUAGAUCACAUGUUUUUGUUUUGUAAACAGCCCAGAGAAUCAAAAUGGCUGAGGGGACUCCUCUCUGUGUCAUCAGUUGGAAGGUUAAAGCUUUUUGGUGGAGGGUCUGUCUGUCACUUUUGGCUGAGUAUGCCAGAAAGGAUCUUCCCCUAUUGGAGUAUGCGGUUGAUGUUUAGCCAGCUUGCCUUUCUAACGGCAUUCGACAACUCUGCUCUGAACUCACUGUUCUGGAUCGGGGCUAACUACCAUCACCCCGUCGACCUCCGUCGACCUCACUCUGGAGAGUGCACUGCCCCGAUCCAGAGCAUAGCCAGACCCAGAGUCCAGCCCACCAUCUCCCCGCUGUGUGGAGCCCAAGCCCGAGCCCACCGAUGAUGGAGAGCCUGAGCCCGCCACGACCGAUCUGCCAUUGCCAUGCGGAGUGACAGAGCUGAGGAUUGCCGUGGAGCCGAUGCUGCUUGUGAUGUCAGACCAGGUUCGAGAGCCAGCUGCUACGCUCGCCACGAGGGAGAAAGCUGUGUAUAGCGAGAGCGCGGAGAGAAGCUCCGCCCACUGCACCAUGGCUGAUGGCGAGCUUACAAAGGAACAGAGACUGCUGGAUUUUGAAGGGGAUUUAAUUGAUUUAUAUACCGACCUGCCCGCCCUUUUCCUGCUCCUUCUUCAAGUCCCUCCUGUCUCCUCCCUGGCUUCUCCCUCCAUCUGCUCCACCCUGGCUCCUCCUGUUUCCUCCCUGGCUCCUCCCUCCAUCAUCUCCACCCUGGACUAUGUUGACCAUCCUCCUCCCAGGUGUCUGUCCUCCACCCGAACCUCCUGCUGAGUUCCGCUCUGUCCCUACCUCUGGUGUAUCUAUGGCGCAAGGACGCGCCUUCUGGGAGGGGGCGAUAUGUCAGGAUUAUGGACUGUCUGUGUGUUUGUUUUGCUCCCCAUGUGCUCCCCGUGACCCAGUUUCUCCCUCAUUUGAUAACGUUCAUUUCUGUUUAUUCAGUGCAAUUUCAAUUAUUGUUCAUAUAAUUAUUUACAGGUAAAAGAAUGACAUCUGAAUGCAUUUUGCUUGAAAAUGCACUACUUUGAUAAAAAAAAAUAUACAAUAUGUUCAUAUAUUCAUAGCAUAAAAUAUUCUGAGGGCCAUCAAAUUUAAGUGAAUAUCAUCAAAAAUGCUGGCGAUGCUGGCAACCUUUUUUAAAAUUAAACUGAAACAACUGACACGGUGACUUGGUUUGUCUUUCUUUUUUUCUUUCUCUUUAUUUUUCUCUUCCUCUUUGAAGUGCAACUAUUUGGUCCAUAGAUACUUUAGGGAAGCAUAAGGAAAGUCAUGCUCUGUUAUUAUAGUCUACUUUUGGAGUUGAAAACACACUUGUGUUUCAGUGUUUCAGGCAGUGAAUAUACAGUAUUUCGACUGAAGUCUGUCAGGCGAAGUUCAGGAGGUAUUUAUGCUUUUCUGCUUGUUUCUUCUUCUUUUUUUUUUCUUCUAGUAUGCACCUCACCCGAGGCUUUAGUAGGCAUAAAUAGUUGAUGAAAAAAGGAACAACAAUAGUUACUUUAGUUCUUCAUACAAUAUUUAAUAUACACACAGCACAGAAUGGGGAGAGGCAGAAAAAUGUUGUCAGCUUACCCACACCUAAGCGCUGAGGGAGCAGGCCUAACGAAAGAGGGAGGUUUGUCUUUGAGGGUGGGGAAGGUUAGCUUUACUGGGUAUUUGCUCUGUUAUCAAUUUUCCAAGAUUUUAAUUGGAACCUCAUCAUGCUAUAUUAAUCUGAAGUUAGUUCCUGGAUGAAGAGGGCUAAUACAUCAACAACUAUUUUUCUGUAACACAACAACCCUUUCAGGACUGAGAGUUAGAGUUACUGUACAGAUUUGUUUUCCCUUUACAAGGGGUCAAGGCACAGUUAGCCCCUUGUGGUAGAUACUAACUACACCAGCAGGAUAGAAAAAGCAUCUUUCACUCUGAGCAUCCAUUCAAAAGUUAGUACAUUUUGAUAGAAUAAAUAUUCUGAAGGCAAUAUGCAC